CCUACGGGAGGCAGCAGUGGGGAAUAUUGCACAAUGGGGGAAACCCUGAUGCAGCGACGCCGCGUGAGUGAAGAAGUAUUUCGGUACGUAAAGCUCUAUCAGCAGGGAAGAAAAUGACGGUACCUGACUAAGAAGCCCCGGCUAACUACGUGCCAGCAGCCGCGGUAAUACGUAGGGGGCAAGCGUUAUCCGGAUUUACUGGGUGUAAAGGGAGCGUAGACGGCAGCGCAAGUCUGGAGUGAAAUCCCAUGGCUUAACCAUGGAACUGCUUUGGAAACUGUGCAGCGAGAGUGCAGGAGAGGUAAGCGGAAUUCCUAGUGUAGCGGGGAAAUGCGUAGAUAUUAGGAGGAACACCAGUGGCGAAGGCGGCUUACUGGACUGUAACGGACGUUGAGGCUCGAAAGCGUGGGGAGCAAACAGGAUUAGAUACCCCGGUAGUC
rnacentral:rRNA from 1 species